rnacentral:rRNA from 1 species
AGUGAACGCUGGCGGUAGGCCUAACACAUGCAAGUCGAACGGCAGCACAGUAAGAGCUUGCUCUUACGGGUGGCGAGUGGCGGACGGGUGAGGAAUACAUCGGAAUCUACUUUUUCGUGGGGGGUAACGUAGGGAAACUUACGCUAAUACCGCAUACGACCUACGGGUGAAAGCAGGGGAUCUUCGGACCUUGCGCGAUUGAAUGAGCCGAUGUCGGAUUAGCUAGUUGGCGGGGUAAAGGCCCACCAAGGCGACGAUCCGUAGCUGGUCUGAGAGGAUGAUCGGCCACACUGGAGCUGAGACACGGUCCAGACUCCUACGGGAGGCAGCAGUGGGGAAUAUUGGACAAUGGGCGCAAGCCUGAUCCAGCCAUACCGCGUGGGUGAAGAAGGCCUUCGGGUUGUAAAGCCCUUUUGUUGGGAAAGAAAAGCAGCAGGUUAAUACCCCGCUGUUCUGACGGUACCCAAAGAAUAAGCACCGGCUAACUUCGUG